rnacentral:tRNA from 1 species
ACUCUUUGGCACUAUAGGCAGGGCAUCAGUCUUGAAAGCUGAAGAUCCUGAGUUUGAUUCUCAGAAAGAGGG